rnacentral:tRNA from 1 species
GCGGGAUUGGUUUAAUGGUAGAAUGUAACCUUGCCAUGGUUGAGAAACGGGUUCGAUUCCCGUAUCCCGCUCCA